rnacentral:snoRNA from 1 species
UCAAGGUGAAUGAUGAAAUCACAAGUAAAUACAGUUAUCCCUGUCUGAUUCCUUUCUAAGGGUGCUGAGAAUACUUAAAUCUGACACAUUAA